rnacentral:rRNA from 1 species
UACGAAGGGGGGCUAGCGUUGCUCGGAAUCACUGGGCGUAAAGGGUGCGUAGGCGGGUCUUUAAGUCAGGGGUGAAAUCCUGGAGCUCAACUCCAGAACUGCCUUGAUACUGAAGAUCUUGAGUCCGGGAGAGGUGAGUGGAACUGCGAGUGUAGAGGUGAAAUUCGUAGAUAUUCGCAAGAACACCAGUGGCGAAGGCGGCUCACUGGCCCGGUACUGACGCUGAGGCACGAAAGCGUGGGGAU